ensembl:rRNA 5S_rRNA 5S ribosomal RNA
UCCUAAAGCCAUAUCACUCUGCAACUCACAACUGGCAAUCCACUGAAGCUAAGCAGGUGUGAUCCUGGUCAGUACCUGGAUGGGAGACCACCUGGGUAAAACUAAGGUUGCUGCUGGAA